rnacentral:rRNA from 1 species
AUUGAACGCUGGCGGCAGGCCUAACACAUGCAAGUCGAGCGGAGCGGCAGACGGGUGCGUAAUGCCUAGGAAUCUGCCUGGUAGUGGGGGAUACCGUCCGGAAACGGGCGCUAAUACCGCAUCCUAUCAGAUGAGCCUAGGUCGGAUUCGCGAGUUGGUGGGGUAAAGGCCUACCAAGGCCACGAUCCGUAACUGGUCUGAGAGGAUGACCAGUCACACUGGGACUGAGACACGGUCCAGACUCCUACGGGAGGCAGCAGUGGGGAAUUUUGGACAAUGGGGGAAAGCCUGAUCCAGCCAUGCCGCGUGUGUGAAGAAGGUCUUCGGGUUGUAAAGUACUUUAAGGUGGGAGGCGUUACCGACAGAAGAAGCACCGGCUAACUACGUGCCAGCCGCCGCGGUAAUAC